rnacentral:rRNA from 1 species
AGCGGGAAAAGCUCAAAUUUAAAAUCUGGCAGAUGUUUGUCUGUCCGAGUUGUAACCUAGAGAAGUGUAACCUGUGCUGGACCGUGUACAAGCCUCCUGGAAUGGAGCAUCAUAGAGGGUGAGAAUCCCGUCUUUGACAUGGACUACCAGUGCACUGUGGUUGCACACUCAACGAGUCGAGUUGUUUGGGAAUGCAGCUCUAAAUGGGUGGUAAAUUCCAUCUAAAGCUAAAUAUUGGCGAGAGACCGAUAGCGAACAAGUACCGUGAGGGAAAGAUGAAAGGAACUUUGGAAAGAGAGUUAAACAGUAUGUGAAAUUGUUGAAAGGGAAACGCUUGAAGUCAGCUACAUUAGCUGGGGAUCAAGCCAGCUAUUUUGCUGGGUGUACUUCCUGGUUGAUGGGCCAACAUCAGUUUUGACCAUCAGAGAAAGGCUAAGGGAAUGUGGCACCUUUAUAGGUGUGUUAUACCCUUGGUUGUAUGUGAUGGUUGGGACUGAGGA